rnacentral:rRNA from 1 species
UCCCUAGUAACUGCGAGUGAAGCGGGAAAAGCUCAAAUUUAAAAUCUGGCGGUCUUUGGCCGUCCGAGUUGUAGUCUGGAGAAGUGCUUUCCGCGCUGGACCGUGUAUAAGUCUCUUGGAACAGAGCGUCAUAGAGGGUGAGAAUCCCGUCUUUGACACGGACUACCAGUGCUUUGUGAUGCGCUCUCAAAGAGUCGAGUUGUUUGGGAAUGCAGCUCAAAAUGGGUGGUGAAUUCCAUCUAAAGCUAAAUAUUGGCGAGAGACCGAUAGCGAACAAGUACCGUGAGGGAAAGAUGAAAAGCACUUUGGAAAGAGAGUUAAACAGUACGUGAAAUUGCUGAAAGGGAAACGCUUGAAGUCAGUCGCGUUAUCCGGAACUCAGCCUUGCUUUUGCUUGGUGCACUUUCCGGAUGACGGGUCAGCAUCGAUUUUGACCGUCGGAAAAGGGCUGGAGUAAUGUGGCACCUCCGGGUGUGUUAUAGACUCUGGUCGCAUACGGCGGUUGGGAUCGAGGAACGCAGCGCGCCGCAAGGCAGGGGUUCGCCCACUUUCGCGCUUAGGAUGCUGGCAUAAUGGCUUUAAACGACCCGUCUUGAAACACGGACCAAGGAGUCUAACAUACCUGCGAGUGUUUGGGUGGAAAACCCGAGCGCGUAAUGAAAGUGAAAGUUGAGACCCCUGUCGUGGGGGGCAUCGACGCCCGGACCUGACGUUCUCUGACGGAUCCGCGGUAGAGCAUGUGUGUUGGGACCCGAAAGAUGGUGAACUAUGCCUGAAUAGGGUGAAGCCAGAGGAAACUCUGGUGGAGGCUCGUAGCGAUUCUGACGUGCAAAUCGAUCGUCAAAUUUGGGUAUAGGGGCGAAAGACUAAUCGAAC